ensembl:lncRNA
GAAUAGAGGCGUAAGUAACAGAAUCAAAGGACUUUGUGGGCAGUUGAGUUUCAUCAGAACUGGAAGCCAACUUGGUUCUGAGUUGAGCAUUGGAGUAGGUGGGGUCAUCAGAGAGGACUGUGGGUAAUUGAGUUCCAUCAGAACUGGAAGCUAACUUGGUUCUGAGUUGAGCAUUGGAGUAGGUGGGGUCAUCAGAGAGGACUGUGGGUAAUUGAGUUCCAUCAGAACUGGAAGCCAACUGGGUUCUGAGUUGAGCAUUGGAGUAGGUCGGGUCGUCAGAGAGGACUGUGGGUAAUUGAGCUGUUGCGUAAACGGUACUGAGGGCAGACUCAGCGGUCCCGGAGUUAGCAUCUAAGCUAACGUCUUUAAUUUCAUCAUAGGUGGCUUCUGUGUCAGUAACUCUGAGUUGAGCAUUGGAGUAGGUGGGGUCGUUAGAGAGGACUGUGGGUAAUUGAGCUGUUGCGUAAACGGUACUGAGGGCAGACUCAGCGGUCCCGGAGUUAGCAUGUAAGCUAACGUCUUUAAUUUCAUCAUAGGUGGCUUCUGCGUCAGUAACCUGAAGGAGGAGACAAUAGAUGGGGGGUGGGGGGGGGGCGGGGGCUUCAAAUGUAUAAACUGUCUGCAACAUGCAGCCUAAAACAUUAGCAGUAUGCA